AGAAAGGAGGAAGAGGCAGGCACAAGACAAAAUGAAUCUCUCCGCUGUGCACAUGGAGCCUUAGCUCUGAUUCCAGUUGAGCAAAAUUAUGAAGAAGAUGAUUCCCCAUAUGGAUGACAGAUAAACACCCUGUGGCGAGUCACUCACUCCCGAAAGGCCCUCUGAAGGAUCGCGCAUGUCCUGACUGCACAGCCUGCUCCUGACAAUGCUCUCAAAGCCACGGUUGUAAUAGAAAUUGGAAAAUCAAAGCAGAUCCAUGUGGCCUCAGCAUAACGAAAACAAGAGAAUCCUGAGAUUGAGAAGAGGGAGAAUACUUUAAAGAGGAGCCCCUCCUACUACAGAAACCUCAGUGUAACAGCAGGAAUGACCCUGUGCCUCCAAACAUGUGGUUUAAGAGGCAGAUCUAACAUGACUCUUCAAAAACAAGCCCAGGGAAAAGAGAAGAUGACAACAUGUAACCAGCAGCCACCUUAGAAUGCAGGGGGCAGCUAUAGUGCCACCUCUGCAGGCGGAUUUACCAGUUUAAAUAGAUGGUUCUCAAAACUGCAGGCAACUUU
rnacentral:lncRNA from 1 species